UCAGCAGCCGCGGUAAUACGUAGGUCCCGAGCGUUGUCCGGAAUUACUGGGUGUAAAGGGUGCGCAGGCGGCCAUGUGCGUCAGAAGUGAAAUAUCACGGCUCAACCGUGAGGGUGCUUUUGAUACGGCGUGGCUUGAGUACGGGAGAGGAUGAUGGAAUUCCUGGUGUAGCAGUGAAAUGCGUAGAUAUCAGGAGGAACACCGGUGGCGAAGGCGGUCAUCUGGCCCGGUACUGACGCUCAGGCACGAAAGUGUGGGUAGCAAACAGGAUUAGAUACCCUGGUAGUCCACACCAUAAACGAUGUAUGCUUGGUGUUGGGGCAGCAAUGCUUCAGUGCCGUAGGGAACCUAUUAAGCAUACCACCUGGGGAGUACGAUCGCAAGGUUGAAACUCAAAGGAAUUGACGGGGGCCCGCACA
rnacentral:rRNA from 1 species